CAAUCUGUUAACAUCAGUCAGCCUUUGUCAUGAUACGUUCCAGUAGAGGAACAAAGGGUCAUCACGGUGGCAGGGAAAGAGGCUAUAAUGAAUGUGCCCAAUUACAUAGACUCUUUCCUUCUUAUGAAGUUUGACCUAUCUACUGCCACUGUGAAACAUCCAAUCUUCCAACAAAACAAAUCAAUGCUAAGCCCUUGAAACAGCACCAUCCCCUGAGAAGAAAAGCACAUUGGACAUCUUACACCCUGAAACAAACAGAAUUAAUCUUAACUGGAUUUAGCCAAGUUCCACUUAUAAGGAGGGUUGCCAUUAUUUUCUGCAGGUCUUCAGCUAACUCCACUGUCCAAGGGAUUACACAGUGUUUGACUCACUAACACAAGAUCUCACACAACAUCACCUUGGACUAUAAGACCUACUUUAAAGGAAAAGAUGCAUGGUAGUGAAUACAUAACCAUGGGAUCCAUGGGCCCAUCACAUAUUGCCCACCAAAAAGUUUCUGUCCUGAAGAAAUGAUGAAAUUGCCUUUUGAAGGAAUAGCUGAGGCUCCAACUUGGAGACGAUACUUUGUGAAGAUGGAGCCCCAUCCUGCAGCAUGUAAUACACAACCCACUUAUUGACCUAAUGGUUCUGUGUUUUCAAUGGAUAGUCUUCAUGGGUCUAGAAACCAAAGGGUGGAAGAAAACUUGACUCUGUUCAUCAUCUGUCUCAGUGAUCCACUUUAGGGAAUCAGUGCUUCCUUUAGGCACAACAUUAGUCUCUGUGUAUCUAAAGACUUGCUUCCCAAGGGGGAGAUAUUUCUACCAGGGACACAGCAAAAGUCCUACUAUACAUUAAACUAUGGCUUCUAUUCAGUUACCUCGGGUUUCUUGUACCAAGAGACAAGCAGAAAAGGAAAGGAGUCCCAUCCUGUAAAAGUUAAUGAUGACCCUUAUCAUUAGGAAGAGGUAUGGCUUCUAUUCUUGAUGGGAGCAGGGUAAAUUACUCGGGUACCCAAAUGAUCCAUUAAUAAAUCUUUUGGUAUUUCCCUGCCCAAUUAUGACAGUAGAAGGACAGCUGCAUCCUNAGAUGAUUAUGGUGAUAAAAGGUUUGAUCCCUCAGGGAUAAGGAGCUAGGUUACCCUAUCAGGACCAGCAGAGAUGCUAGCUGAAGAUGAGGAAAAUUUAUAAGAAGUAGUAGAAGAGAGAGAUAAUGAGUAUCAUUUGUGACCUUAAGACCACAAAUGGUCAUCUCAUUAGCGGUUUAAUUUUCCCAAUGAAUUUACCACAUAAAUCCAGUGGAUCCAAGCAAUGUACAGUGUAGAUUAUAAAGAAGAUUAUGGCAUACCAUUGAAUUCCCCCUUUAGGAAUGAGGUACAUAUUCCCCCAACUACCAGGAGUAUUAGCUGUUUAUGGCUCACGUUUGUGUUCCUCUCUAGGAGAGUCCUUAGGCCAUACAAACCUACCUUGCAAGGUUACAUUUCUCACUUAGGGGCAGCCUGCAACCAAUGAUGGGUCAGUGUGGAGGUAAAAUGGUGUAUUCUCCUCACCUCCUUUCAUAACAACUCUGAAGGACACCCCAGAUUCAGUGCUUACCAUGAGAUUGCAUGAGGCAACUAUUUCAAGUGCCUCACAGUUCAUAUUCUCCCCCUGCCCAAUCUCUGGUGCCCUUGUUUCCUUACAGGUGUAAUUACAGAGAACACUUCGUAAAAACCACCUUACAGGAUAGUAUAAGUAUUAAAGUAAUGUAAGUACUAAUUUAGUACAAUACUGAAAACAUAGUAUUGCACUAAGUAAAUGAUAGGCAGGUAGUAGCAGCAAAACUGGAGUUAGAAAUCUGAGGUAUGGGUCCUAACUUCUACAUAUAUUUGCUUUGUAACUUUGAGAAAGGCAAUUAAUAUCUCUGGGCCUUAGUUUUAUUGUCUGGAAAAUAAGGUUAAUAAGACUUGAUAAGUUGAGGAGUAGAUAUGAUUGUGCUUUGAAAAGGUUAAGCACUAGGCAAAGGUAGAGUACACAUUGUGUUGCUGUUGUUCCUCUACUAUGUGCCAGCACUGUGUCAGGUACUGAGGAAGGAAAAUCUCACUUUCCUAGAAUUUGACUCUGACUCAUUCCAAACAGGAAGUGGUAAUACACAAUGUUCCCAGCUGAAGAGAAACUUGACAAAGUGCUUUGACUUGUAUGGGAAAAGCAGGCAAGUAUUUAGAUAUUUGAAUAUUAGAAGGCUUUCUGCCAGAGUGACAUUAAGGAAGAUGAAGCCCCAGGAAUCCAAUUCUCCACCGAAACAGUAGUAGGAACACUCUGAAGCAACUGUUUUGUUCUCUUUCUAUCUUUCUUCUUCUUUUUUGUUUUUUGGGGGUGUUUGUUUGUUUGUUUGUUUGCCUUUUAGGGCCACACCAUGGCAUAUGGACAGUCCCAGGCUAGGAGCCAUAUUGGAGCUACAGCUGCAAACCUAUGCCACAGCCAUAGCAAUGCAGGAUCCAAACCACAUCUGUGAGUUACACCAGAGUUCACAGCAAUGCCAGAUACCAACCCACUAAGUGAGGCCAGGGAUUGAACCCACACCCUUAUGGAUACUAGUCAGAUUAAUUUCUGCUAUGCCACAAUGGGAACACCUCUUUCUUUCUUAAGGCUGUACCUGUAGCAUGUGGAAGCCUGGGCUAGGGGUCAAAUCAGAGCCUCAGCUGCUGGCCUAUACCAUAGCCAAGGCAACACCGGAUCAGAGCUGCAUCUGCAACCUGCACUGCAACUCGUGGCAAUGCCAGAUACUUAACCAACUGGGCAAGGCCAAGGAUGGAAUCUACAUCCUCACAGACAUUAUGUUGGGUCCUUAUCCCACUGAGACACAAUGGGAAGUCCUGAAGCAACUACUUUGGAAAUCUGAGUCUAGUAGAAUACUUGCAGCAUCCAGAAGAGAGUCUGAUGAAGAGACUGAUAAAUUUCAGUCAAUUUCAGCUUUCUUGCACUAGUGGAUACUAUCUCCAGGCAGGCAGCUGUAGGAACAGUGGUGUGUGUUCCCAGUGAAACAUGCUGGAGCCAGGAUGGGCAAUAGGCCUUGUCCUCCCAAGACUCAAGUUGAGUAUUUCAGUUGCUGAUUGCUGCUUUUCAUCACAAAUUGCUUUGGCUCCUACAGGCUGAAAUAUCUUCCCAGCUAAGAGAGAAUUUAAAGUGACAGGAUGCAUUUCACCUCAUCUUGUGAGCUAGAUAUUUAAGGAAAUAUUUGUCAGGUCACUGGCUGACCACAGAGACAAUGGAAAACAACUGGGUUACACACAACAAGGAAUACACAUUUUGCAAAAAUAGUUUGGAAGAGUUUCAAAAGUAUGGUUCCAGCCCACAACAAGUAAAAUACAAAUAAUGACUGAGGAGUGAAAGAAUUAGAUUUCCAAGUUACUAGAACAUAAUAGCCAGAAUGCCCAGUUAUCAACAAAAAUUACAAAACAUACAAAGAAACAGAGAAAUGUGGCCCACUCAAAGGAAAUAAACAAUAUAACAUAAACCAUUCCUGAGGGAGCUCAGACAUUGGAAUUUUUGGUCAAAGAUGUCAAUCAAAAGUCUUAAAUGUGUUCAAUGAGUUAAAAGAAAUCAUGGGCAAUGAACUAAAGGAAAUUAGGAAAAUUGUGUUUGAAAAAAAUGAGAUUAUCAAUAAAAACCUUUCAAUUAUAAAAAUAAACCAAACAGAAAUUCUGAAUGUGAAAAGCACAAUCACGAAAAAGUUGAACUCAGAGUUCCCAUCAUGGCUUAACAGUAAUGAACCUUACUAGUAUCCAUGAGGACACAGGUUCAAUUCCUGGCCUUGCUCAGUGGGUUAAGGAUCUGGCAUUGCUGUGAGCUGUGCCACAGAUAUCACAGAUGUCAUUGCUAUGUAGGUCACAGAUGCAGCUCCAGUCCUGCAUUGCUGUGGCUGUGGCAUAAGCCAGCAGCUGCAGCUCUAAUUUGACCCCUAGCCUGGAAACUUCCAUAUGCCAGGGGUGUGGCCCUAAAAAGACAAAAAGAAAACUCACUAAAGAAAUUCAACAACAAACUUAAGCAGUAGAAGAAAUGAUCAGUGAACUUGAAGAAAAGACAUUUGAAAUUGGCCAGUCAGAGGAACAGAGAGAAAAAGGAAAGAAGGUGAAAAUAAACAGAGUCUGAGACCCGUGGGACCCACCAAUCAUAUCAAUAUGUACAUUAUAGGAAACUCAGAAAACAGAGAAAGGGGAUGAAAAAAUAUUUGAAGAAAUAAUGGUCAAAAACUUCUCAAACCCGAUGAAAGAUAUGAGUAUACACAUCCAAGAAUUUCAAUGAACUCCAAUCAGGAUAAACUUAAAGAGAUCCACACUGAAACAUAUUAUAGUCAAAUUAUAAAAACCUUGAUAAAGAGAAUUGUGAAGGUAGCAGGAGAGAAGUAACUCAUUACAUACAAAGAAUCUGGAUGAGAUUAAGAGCUGAUUUCUCACCAUAGAUCAAGAGGGCCAGAAGGCAAUGGGAUGUUAUGUAUAAAGUCCUGAAAUAAAAUGUCAGUCAGGAAUUAUAUAUAUGACAAAAUUAUCCUUCAAGAAUGAAGGAGAAAUAAAGACGUUUCAUGAUACACAAAAGCUGGGGAAAUUUAUUACCUGCCCUACAAAAAAAAUGUUAAAUAAGGUUCUUCAGCCUUGAAUGAAAAGACACUAAACAGUAACUUGAAAACUAAAGCAUAUGUUAAAGAACACUAGUAAAAGCAAUUUCAAGGUAAAUAUAAAUCUGAAUAUUAUUGUACUUUUCUUUCAGCUUGAAUUUCUUUUUGCCACAUAAUUUAAAUGCAAAGUUCAUUAAAAUUAUAUAUCUGUGUCAGUGGGUAUACAACAUAUAAAGAUAUAAUCUGUGACAAUAAUAAUAUAAGGGGAUGGGACAGAGAUGUAUAGAAGCACAAUGUUUAUAUACUAUUGAAACUAAGUAUUAUUCAAUAAGAUUGUUAUAAUUUUAAGAUGUUAAUUGUAAGUUAAUUCUAAGAUGACCAUUAAGAAAAUAAAUUUAGGAGUUCCUGUUGUGGCACAGUGGUUAAGGAAUCCGACUAGGAACCAUGAGGCUGCGGGUUCAGUCCCUGCCCUUGCUCAGUGGGUUAACAAUUCUGCGUUGCCGUGAGCUGUGGUGUAGGUUGCAGACGCGGUUCAGAUCCCACGUUGCUGUGGCUCUGGCGGAGGCCAGUGGCUACAGCUCCAAUUCGACCCCUAGCCUGGGAACCUCCAUAUGCUGCGGGAGCGGCCCAAAGAAAUAGCAAAAA
ensembl:lncRNA